UCCUACGGGAGGCAGCAGUGGGGAAUAUUGGACAAUGGGCGAAAGCCUGAUCCAGCCAUGCCGCAUGAGUGAAGAAGGCCUUUGGGUUGUAAAGCUCUUUUAGUGAGGAAGAUAAUGACGGUACUCACAGAAGAAGUCCUGGCUAACUCCGUGCCAGCAGCCGCGGUAAUACAA
rnacentral:rRNA from 1 species